rnacentral:rRNA from 1 species
UACGGAGGGUGCAAGCGUUGCUCGGAAUUAUUGGGCGUAAAGCGCACGUAGGCGGUAUCGUAAGUCAGAUGUGAAACUCCUGGGCUCAACUUGGGAACUGCAUCUGAUACUGCGAAACUAGAGUACGGGAGAGGGGAGUGGAAUUCCCAGUGUAGAGGUGAAAUUCGUAGAGAUUGGGAGGAACACCGGAGGCGAAGGCGGCUCCCUGGUCCGAUACUGACGCUCAGGUGCGAAAGCGUGGGGAGCAAACAGG